AAAAAUAAUAAAUAAAAAAAGCAGCUUGGAAAUAAUGCUUACUGUUCGCUAAUUAUUACUAUUGCUGUUCCUGGUUAUUACUGUUCACAAAAGUCACGUAAUUAAUAUAGAGAGUGGCUCCUUACCUUUUAACAUUGGCCCACGUGGUGUUCCUUAGGCGUGCGUCCUCCACUCGCCCUUGUGAUCACUGAUGCUCUCCUUUCCUUUCCUCUUUUCUCCUCUCCUCUUAACACUAACGCACUAACUAUGACACUGACUGACCAUGGGCUUGUUCUACUUCUUUUCCUUGUUUUUCUUCCCGGGAUGACGUCUGUAUUCUCUUCAAUCGGUUGUUAUAUGAUGAACUAGAGAUGGUAAGCUUCGACUCAAUCACUCGAUCGCGCUUCUCGUCUCGUCUCGUCUCGUUCUCGGCUUCGUAUACGAAAAUAGUGAUAAUUAAUGGAUAAAGAGAUUGAUAGGUGAAUAUAGACCAAUAUAUAUGUAUCUAAACACUUUUUCUACUCUCAUUUAAUCAGAAAAAGUUGUAGAAAGUAAAACUAACAAAUAGACGAGAUGAAGGCGGGUGAUAUAUAAGUGAGUAUAGAUCAACAUACAUCUAAACACUUUUCUACUCUCAUAUAAUAAGAAUGAGUUUUAGAAAAUAAAGCAAUAUCAAAUAAAUGGAUAAAUACGAAGAUGAAUGCAAUUUACGCGCGAGAUUUGAAUCCUCCCCCGCGCCACAUUGCUGAAACUGUGACCCUUCAGAGAGAUCUAAUAUCCAAAAACCGAUGAGGAUUCACACAUACUUAAUUUGUACCUAGUUCGUAUCUUUUGUCGAGGUUCCAGUAACUCUUUCUAUAAAUAUCCUAAUCAAUUAAAUAAUGAAGGGAAAAAUAAUGAAGGAAUCUAAUGCAGUUGAUAAUGGUUAGAGGGAAACUUAUUAGUAUUAGUUAGGUCUGUAUUAUUAUUAGGUCAGUAAUAAAUUAUAUCUGUAAAGGGCUUUGAUAACUGGAGGUGUCAAGAGCAUGUAGCUACUUUAAAAAAAAUAACUAUUAUCAAAUUCCUAAUUAAUUUGAUGAAAUACUAAUGCAAAUAAUAAUGUGUAGGGGUUGCAAAGAGACUGUACCAUUAUCAAAUUCCUUAUUAACACAGUGGAUCAAAUACUAAUGAAAAUAAUACUGUUUAAGACUGGAAUUAAGCUCAGUAUUGCUCCUUGAAAACAGACAGACAAAGACAGAAGGAGACAGAGACCCACCUUAACCCGGUACCAGCGACAGGCCAAAUUUGUGACUUUACAGUGUAGCCUAGCAGUGACGGGCCAAAUUUUUGCUAUGAUAUAAGCCCCCAAAAAUAGAUAAUGCAUAAUCUGAUCACCAAUGCGUUGAUAUAUAUUAUGAAAUGGUUUGAGUGAGUGAUGAUUUUUUCUCAUUUUUCUCGCUUAGAGGGGCCUUUAAGAAACAUGAUCCCCGCAGCUACCGGGUUAAGAAUGGAAGUUCAGUAUUGCUCCUUGAAAACAGACAGACAAAGACAGAAGGAGGCAGAGACCCACCUUAACCCCUUGACUGUGGAUUUCCUACAAGAAGACAUCACCAAGGCACAGGAAUGGAACAGUAAGUGGUUGCUAAAAUUCAAUUAAGAAAAUGUUAAGUCAUGUACCUUGGGAGGAGAUAUCCAGCAUACCAAUACCUCAUGGGAAACACUCUACUAUCCACCACAGAGGCAGAAAAAGACUUGGGACUCUAUGUGACCAGGCUACCGGUGAAAGCCAAAUCCAUGCCUAUCGCAGCCGACAGGUUAAGGUAUACUAGAAAGGUUUGGCUCGUUACCUCCAGGACCCCAGCAGCCAGCCAGCCAGGUGCGUCGACGAAGAGGGUACAACAGAACACACACACACACCUCCUUCAGAUAAAAUGUAUUCUACAACAAACAAACACCAACAAACACAUUUUUUUACAGCAUAAAUUAUACAUACACAUCAUCAUCAGACUCAUACAUACGCAAAACAGGACUAACAUCACAAACGCAACCCCCAGAGAGGAUAAUAAACAGUACAUCAUCUUUUUCUGUCUAUAAAAAAAGAAAUAAAAAUGAGGCACUGUGUGAAGGAACAUGGAAAUACAAGACUAGACUGAUAUUGCAAGGACAUAUUAUCAAGACCCAACUGACUAGAUUUUGCAAGGAGGCUCAGUGAGAAGGAAGUUAGAAAGGAAGAGGAGGAGAAGGAGGAAGUUCAGGAAUAGGAAUUAAAAGGAAGAGGAGGAGGAUGAGGAGGAAGUUCAGGAAUAGGAAGCAAAAAGAAGAGUAGAAGGAAGGAGGAGGAGGAGAAAGUUCAGGAAUAGGAAGCAAAAGGAAGAGGAGGAGGAGGAGGAGGAAGUUCAGGAAUAGGAAGCAAAAAGAAGAGUAGAAGGAAGGAGGAGGAGGAGAAAGUUCAGGAAUAGGAAUUAAAAGGAAGAGGAGGAGGAUGAGGAGGAAGUUCAGGAAUAGGAAGCAAAAGGAAGAGUAGAAGGAAGGAGGAGGAGGAGAAAGUUCAGGAAUAGGAAGCAAAAGGAAGAGUAGAAGGAAGGAGGAGGAGGAGAAAGUUCAGGAAUAGGAAGCAAAAGGAAGAGUAGAAGGAGGAAGAGGAGGAGGAGGAGGAAGUUCAGGAAUAGGAAGCAAAAGGAAGAGAAGAAGAAGAAGAAGAAGGAGGAGGAGGAGACACAUAAUAACAAAUAAUGAAGGAUAGAUAGACAAGAAGGAAGAAAGGAGAAUGAUGGGAAUGCAAGAGAAUGAAUAAAUGGAUUAGAGAACACAAAUAGGAAUAGGAAUAAAAAGGAAGAGAAGAAGGAGGAAGAGGAGCAGGAAGAGACACAUAAUAACAAAUAAUAAGGGAUAGAUAGACAGGAAGGAAGACAGGAGAAUGGGGAGAAUGCAAGAAAUUGAAUAAAUGGAUUAGAGAGACCUCAUAUAAAUCACAUACCAAGACCCAGAUGACUAGAGGUUGGGAGAGAGGAAGAGGAGGAAAAAAAGACACAUGAUAGCAAAUAAAGAAGGAUGGGAAGACAGGAAGGAAGAUAGGAGAAUGAGGAGAAUGCAAGAAAAUGAAUAAAUGGAUUAGAGACCUCAUAUAAAUCACAUACCAAGACCCAGAUGACUAGAGGUUCAAAGAGAAGAAGAGGAGGGAAAGAGUAGACACACAUGAUAGCAAAUAAAGAAGGAUGGGAAGACAGGAAGGAGAACAACCUGUGAGGGAAUGAAGAAGUACUAGAUUGGAAAGCUCAAAUAAAUCCCACAGCAUAACUCAAAUGACUAGACUCGGAGGUUAAUCCCCAAUCACGCUCGAAAUGUCGAAAAACAGAGGACACACAGAGAGAAAAAGAAGGAAGAAAUGCAGAGGAGAGAAGAAGAAAGGACAGAAGAAGAAGAAAGGAAAGAAGAAGAAAGGACAGAAGACAGAAAGGAAAGGACAGAAGAGAGGACAGAAAGGAAAGGACAGAAGAGAGGACAGAAAGGAAAGGACAGGAGAAGAAAGGACAGAAGACAGAACACAGAAGAAGAAAGAAAAGAAGAAGGAAGAAAUGCAAAGUACAGAAGAAGGAAGAAAUGCAGAGUACACACAGGGAGAAAGAGAAGGAAAAAGACACAUAACAGCAGAUAAUAGAGGAUGGAGAGGCAAAAAAAAUUACUACCCUCAGAGGAUGAAAAAAUAAAUCAGAGGAAAUGAAUUGCCAAAGAGGAGUCACAGGUUCAGAGCGAGAGAGGACGAGAAGAAAAAGAAGACACAUGACAGCAAAUAAUGAAGAAAAGGAAGACAGGGAAAGAAGAAUAUAACCCUCAGAGGAUGAAAAAAUAAAUGAGAGAAAA